rnacentral:rRNA from 1 species
GAGUAACACGUGGACAACCUGCCUCAAGGCUGGGGAUAACAUUUGGAAACAGAUGCUAAUACCGAAUAAAACUUAGUGUCGCAUGACACAAAGUUAAAAGGCGCUUCGGCGUCACCUAGAGAUGGAUCCGCGGUGCAUUAGUUAGUUGGUGGGGUAAAGGCCUACCAAGACAAUGAUGCAUAGCCGAGUUGAGAGACUGAUCGGCCACAUUGGGACUGAGACACGGCCCAAACUCCUACGGGAGGCUGCAGUAGGGAAUCUUCCACAAUGGGCGAAAGCCUGAUGGAGCAACGCCGCGUGUGUGAUGAAGGCUUUCGGGUCGUAAAGCACUGUUGUAUGGGAAGAACAGCUAGAAUAGGAAAUGAUUUUAGUUUGACGGUACCAUACCAGAAAGGGACGGCUAAAUACGUGCCAGCAGCCGCGGUAAUACGUAUGUCCCGAGCGUUAUCCGGAUUUAUUGGGCGUAAAGCGAGCGCAGACGGUUUAUUAAGUCUGAUGUGAAAGCCCGGAGCUCAACUC